rnacentral:rRNA from 1 species
CAGUAGCCGCGGGAAUACGAAGGGGGCUAGCGUUGUUCGGAAUUACUGGGCGUAAAGCGCACGUAGGCGGAUCGAUCAGUCAGGGGUGAAAUCCCAGGGCUCAACCCUGGAACUGCCUUUGAUACUGUCGAUCUGGAGUAUGGAAGAGGUGUGUGGAAUUCCGAGUGUAGAGGUGAAAUUCGUAGAUAUUCGGAGGAACACCAGUGGCGAAGGCGGCUCACUGGUCCAUUACUGACGCUGAGGUGCGAAAGCGUGGGGAGCAAACAGGAUUAGAUACCCCAGUAGUCCCUGUCUCUUAUAC